AUUGAACGCUGGCGGCAUGCCUUACACAUGCAAGUCGAACGGCAGCACAGGGGCAACCCUGGUGGCGAGUGGCGAACGGGUGAGUAAUAUAUCGGAACGUGCCCAAGAGUGGGGGAUAGCCCGGCGAAAGCCGGAUUAAUACCGCAUACGAUCUAUGGAUGAAAGCGGGGGAUCGCAAGACCUCGCGCUCCUGGAGCGGCCGAUAUCUGAUUAGCUAGUGGCGGGGUAAAGCCCACCAAGGCGACGAUCAGUAGCUGGUUUGAGAGAACGACCAGCCACACUGGGACUGAGACACGGCCCAGACUCCUACGGGAGGCAGCAGUGGGGAAUUUUGGACAAUGGGGCAACCCUGAUCCAGCAAUGCCGCGUGAGUGAAGAAGGCCUGGUGUAAG
rnacentral:rRNA from 1 species